rnacentral:rRNA from 1 species
CAGGGAUUGCCUCAGUAACGGCGAGUGAAGCGGCAAUAGCUCAAAUUUGAAAGCUGGCGCAAGCCCGCGUUGUAAUUUGUAGAGGAUGCUUCGGGUGUGGCUCUAGUCUAAGUUCCUUGGAACAGGACGUCAUAGAGGGUGAGAAUCCCGUAUAUGGCUGGCAGCCUACGCCUAUGUGAAGCUCCUUCGACGAGUCGAGUUGUUUGGGAAUGCAGCUCAAAAUGGGUGGUGUACUCCAUCUAAAGCUAAAUAUUGGCCAAAGACCGAUAGCGCACAAGUAGAGUGAUCGAAAGAUGAAAAGCACUUUGGAAAGAGAGUUAAACAGUACGUGAAAUUGUUGAAAGGGAAGCGCUUGCAAUCAGACUUGCGCGGCGUCGAUCAGCUUGGGUUCUCCCUUGCGCACUCGGCGCCGUUCAGGCCAGCAUCAGUUCUGGCGGUUGGAUAAAGGCCCAGGGAACGUGAGUGGCUUCGGCCACUGUUAUAGCCCUGGGUGCAAUGCAGCCUGCUGGGACUGAGGACCGCGCUUCGGCUAGGAUGCUGGCGUAAUGGUUGUAAGCGACCCGUCUUGAAACACGGACCAAGGAGUUGAUGUGUAAUGCGAGUGUUUGGGUGUUAAACCCAUACGCGUAAUGAAAGUGAACGGAGGUGAGAGUCCUUUAGGAUGCAUCAUCGACCGAUCCUGAUGUCUUCGGAUGGAUUUGAGUAAGAGCAUUACGCAUCUGACCCGAAAGAUGGUGAACUAUGCCUGAAUAGGGUGAAGCCAGAGGAAACUCUGGUGGAGGCUCGCAGAGGUUCUGACGUGCAAAUCGAUCUUCAAAUUUGGGUAUAGGGGCGAAAGACUAAUCGAACCAUUUGGGCAGCUACUUGGUGGUUGAGAGGUAUGCGAACAAUACGCAUAUCUAGUUCCCUCACGGGAGCUAUAUUGCAAAAUUGCGGGGACCCUCUUAUAGCCUGAACUACUGCCGCGGCGUCGAAAGACGCGGCGGCUCCAGCGAUUGCUGGGCAUAGUAAUAACGUUCAGGAUUGAGCAACCCGCAGCCUAGCCCUMCGGCGCGCGAGCGCUAUGGGUGAGGUUCAUCGACUAGAUGGCAGUAGGUAAAAGCCUGGCUUUGCUUAAGGUAUAGUCAGACCGCGGCGGAGACGCUGCGG